AUGGCAAGUGUCGUGCGGCAGCUGGCCGGCAGCAGCCUCGUACUGCCGGCCAAGUCGCGGUCGCGUGGCCGAAGCGGGUUGUGCUGCCGGGCGAACCUGCGCGGCGUCGGAGGUAACAGCACUAGUACCACCACGUCCGACCAGCGGCAGCUGGUGAGCAGCAUCGACGAGCUUACGCUCGCCCGGGUAGACCCCGUUGCGGGCGCCGAGGACCGCGUCGUGAUCGGAACGGGAGAUGACGGCGCCACGGAGGUGGGGAAGCUCCGCGCAGUCGCGGAGGCGGCGGCGGACCGGGUCCAGAUGCACGACAUCAUCGGCCGGCAGAGGGACAACUGGAACCACCUGCUGCUCCACUCCACCAACUCCCUCACGCUCGCCGCCUGCGUCAUGGCCGCGCUCGCGCCGGCGUCGACGAGCCUGCUCGCGCUCAAGGCGUCCACGGGGGUGCUCCUGGCAUCGGCGGCCGUCACGAUGGCGGCGGUCAACAAGAUCCAGCCCUCGCAGCUCGCUGAGGAGCAGCGCAACGCCACGAGGCUGUGGCGGCAGCUCGAGCGCGACGUCCGCGCAACGCUCGCGCUCGGCGCAUCGUCCGCGACCAAGGAUGACUUCUUCCAGGAGGCCAUGGACCGGGUGCUCGCGCUCGACGCCGCCUACCCGCUUCCGCUGCUCCCCGGCAUGCUGGAGAAGUUCCCCAACACCGUCGAGCCCGCACGCUGGUGGCCGAAGAAGAACCCGGCUCGUCACAGCGCCUGCAAGAAGAUGUCGUCCAACACCAGGCAUGGCGCCCGGCGAGCUUCCAUGGCCGGCGACAACGGCUGGACACCAGAACUGGAAGAAGAGAUGAGAGGCAUCGCACGGGUGCUCAAGGCCAAGGACGAGCAGGAGUACCUGUCGUUCGGUAAGGUGGUGCUGAAACUUAACAGAGUCCUCGCGGUUGCCGGCCCGGCGCUGGCCGGCACAGCAGCGAUCGCCGCAGCGUUCAUCGGGUCCGGCGAUGCCGGGACGUCUUGGGCGUCCGGGGCGGCGAUCCUCGGCGGCACUCUGGCCGCGGCGGUGAAUACGGUGGAGCACGGCGGGCAGGUGGGCAUGGUGUUCGAGCUGUGCCGCAACGUCACGGGGUUGUACCGAAAGAUCCAGGACGACAUCGAGGACAACCUCGACGAAGCCAACGUGGAGCGGAGGGAGAACGGCGAAUUGUUUGAGACCAAAGUGGCGCUGCAGCUUGGCCGGAGCCCGUCUGACCUCAGGCAGUUCAAGGGGAUGGCCUCACCGUCGUUCAGGGACGAGGACAUUAGGAAUUUUGCCGGGGAACUUUUCUAG
rnacentral:rRNA from 1 species